AAUCGCCCAUAUUUUCCUCAUCGCCUCUAUCUCUUCAGCCGCCACCACAGAUCUUCAACUGCUCAUGGAAGAUCUAUUCAAUUUCGAAAAAAAUUGUAGAUCGAGUCCGCCGUCCUUGUGCUUCCACAGUUCCGCUCAGAUCCAGUCGCCGAGACGGGCACGAGGUGAACCCCAUCGCGGUGUUGUCGGUCUGCUGGUAGCGAAGUGAACCCCAUCGCCCUAGUAGCGGCAGGCCUCUUCCGUGAGGUGCAGUGCGUGUAGGCGUGCACCCAGUGGUAGACGGCCUAACCCAUUCUAGUGGUGCUUCUGUCCUCGUACGAUGGGAAGAACGCACCCAGGUGAGACCUUGAAAAGUUGUCAUGUCGAGGAUACCUAACCGACUGCGAAAGACCAGUUUUUACAGAACGAGAUGCAGAAAAUGUACAACUAGAUGAAUAUGGUUUACAAGGUCCUGCACCGAUUGAUAACGUCUCACCGGUAAUGUAUAAUGAAUCUUCAGCCCAAGUAACAUAAAUUAUUUCAGAUCAGUAUGGUGUAUGAACCUGCGGUCAUGGUUGACGCUUGGCUAAGUGGAUUACAUGGUAGGUGUGCUCUACCAGGCAGCAGCAGGCCAGCAGCAGGCAAUGUACAGGUGCCAAUCCAGAGAUGAAGUGUGUGACAGAGCAGAAGUAGCAGCGUAAUUAAUCUAUGCCUCACAUAUUGAGCUAAUUCUGGCAUGAGUUGGCCUGUUGUUCUGUAAGACCGCAACAUCUUGGUUUGGUUAGCUACCUCUCGGAACUGAAUCCGUACAUGCAUUGUGUUAAUUUUCAUUUAUAUUGUUGCCUUUCAAGUAUUUCACUUUGGUUUUGCAUUGAGUGACUUAUAUAAGUAAACUAUGGUGGCAUCAAGGCUUAGAGUGAAACCAUAGAUGUGAACCAUGCGGACUAAUUGUUUUUUUUCUUCAAGCUUAACAUACAGAUUUUAUGUUCCAUUGUUUCGCAACUUCAGGAGAUUGUUUGCAUUUGUAAUCUAGUCAUUGUUGUGAACCGAAAGAAUUGGUCCAUCGGCAUGAUUUACUUGUAAAGCCAAUGCCAAGGUACAUUCCAUUUUGUUUUCUUCUCAGUUAUAAGCCUCUGUUUCAUCAGAUACCAAUAUACCAUGAGCAAUUAUCUAAUCCUCUGAAGUCUGAUUUAUCUAACUGCAGCCAUGUAUGUAAUCUUCUGAAUACUUUCUUAUUAAGUACGUAACCAAGCAUCACUUUUGAUGUACAUGCUUUACAUGCUGAAUGACUGAAUCCUUAGAGUGGCUUCUGAACUAAUCUCUACUUUACUUGUAAAGCACUCUAUGUUUUAUACAGAACCAAUAUAUACUUAUUUUUUAUCUUCACUCAAGUAAGCACUCUAUAUUUCUAUAUGGUUGUUUAGUAUUUAGUAACUUUUUUUUCGUGCAGCAGCCAGUACUAGGUAUGCCAUAUGCAACUUUAUGCCAACGAAGAGCUAAAAUACCAAUGUGAAGAGAUGGUGCUUUCAUUAUACGGAUACUGCUCUGUCACAGCGGUGGCAUGUGCUUCAUUUGUGCAUGUGGAAAGAAGAAUUUGUUUUUCAGCUGACAUUGUCUACAGAGAAAUUGUUUGUGAAGGUUUUUAAGCAACAACACAGAAUUUAAAGCAAACCAACAUUAGUGGCCAUGGAGAGCUGAUGUAUCAUUUCCAUGCGGAAGCUUCCCCCUAUUCGAACUACAAGAAGAAAAUGUAUAAGAUUUGCAGGAUUUUGCCUGGUCAAGAUUGUAAUUGUUUCAUGAAAAUGUACAAAUAAAUUGUAAAUUACUGCUAUUCUCUAGAAAUAAAGUUCUUUUUUUA